rnacentral:tRNA from 1 species
UAUAAAAUAGCAAAUUAGUGCAUUGAUUUUAAACAUCAAAUAUAAAGAUUUUCAUUAAAUCUUUUUUUAUAA